rnacentral:rRNA from 1 species
GCCUGCCCAGUGAACAAUUAAACGGCCGCGGUACCCUAACCGUGCAAAGGUAGCAUAAUCAUUUGUCUACUAAUUAUAGACCUGUAUGAAAGGCAAAAUGAGGGUCCAACUGUCUCUUAUAAUAAGUCAAUUAAACUGAUCUCCUAGUAAAAAAGCUAGAAUUCUAACACAAGACCAGAAGACCCUGUGAAGCUUAAACUAAACUAUUAAACCCUAUAAUAACUAAUUUCGGUUGGGGCGACCUUGGAAAAAAAAAGAACUUCCAACAUAUGAUUUUCCAAACACUAAAUCUUUAGGCCAACAAGCCACCUAACGACCCAGCUAAUGCUGAUAAACGAAACAGUUACUCCAGGGAUAACAGCGCAAUCUUCUUUAAGAGCCCAUAUCAAAAAGAAGGUUUACGACCUCGAUGUUGGAUCAGGACAUCCUAGUGGUGCAGAAGCUAUUAAGGGUUCGUUUGUUCAACGAUUAAUAGUCCUACGUGAU